AACAAACGCUGGCGGCGUGCCUAAUACAUGCAAGUCGAACGGGGAAAGUAGCAAUAUGAGUACUAGUGGCGCACGGGUGAGUAACGCGUGGAUAAUCUGCCUUGAAGAGGGGGAUAACUAGUCGAAAGAUUAGCUAAUACCGCAUAAGACCACAAGAACUGAGGUUCAAGGGGUCAAAGGUUUUUCGCUUCAAGAUGAGUCCGCGUAAGAUUAGCUAGUUGGUGAGGUAAUGGCUCACCAAGGCAACGAUCUUUAACUGGUCUGAGAGGAUGAUCAGUCACACUGGAACUGAGACACGGUCCAGACUCCUACGGGAGGCAGCAGUAGGGAAUAUUGCACAAUGGAGGAAACUCUGAUGCAGCGACGCCGCGUGAGUGAUGAAGGCCUUCGGGUCGUAAAGCUCUGUCGCAGGGGAAUAACACAAUGAAUGUACCCUGUAAGAAAGAAUCGGCUAACUUCGUG
rnacentral:rRNA from 1 species